GGCAUGGUUGUCGUCAGCUCGUGCCGUGAGGUGUGGGUUAAGUCCGCAACGAGCGCAACCCUCAUUGUUAGUUACUACCAUUCAGUUGAGGACUCUAAUGAGACUGCCAACGACAAGUUGGAGGAAGGUGGGGAUGACGUCAAAUCAUCAUGCCCUUUAUGACCUGGGCUACAAACGUACUACAAUGGCCAAUACAAAGAGAUGCGAAGCGGUGACGUGGAGCGAACCUCAGAAAGUUGGUCUCAGUUCAGAUUGAAGUCUGCAACUCGACUUCAUGAAGGCGGAAUCGCUAGUAAUCGCGGGUCAGCAGACCGCGGUGAAUACGUUCCCGGGUUUU
rnacentral:rRNA from 1 species